rnacentral:lncRNA from 1 species
AGUAUCGCGAGAUCAGGAAGGUGGCCGAGUGUGUCGCCGCGGCCAUCAGGCACUUCUCCUUCCUGCCCUUGUAUGAAGAAGGAUGUGUUUGCUUCCCCUUGUGCCAUGAUUGUAAAUUUCCUGAGGCCUCCUCAGCCCUGCAGAACUGGGGUUAUAGCCAUGUGACUGAUCUUCGUCCAAGAAUAUGUAAAGAAAAAGUGUUGAGUUGGCUUUUAGGGCUAGAGCAAUGUAUCUUAGGCUCACUUAAGGAAGCUGUAGAGAUGAGCCCAAGGAGGGAAACCAGAAGAGCCCCCCAGGCUCACCAGUUGUUUGUUGGCUCCCUACAAACAUGUCAUUCAAGUGGCUAAUCUUACAACAGCACAAAUUCAUCUAACCAGAAAGAGAAGAGGAGGCUCCAAAGGCACUUGACUACUGAGCAUCACCCUGGACGUGUACAAGUCUGCGUCCUUAUUGUUUUCUUCAUUGGGCCGAACUUUCUGGUCCUCAUCCAACAGCUCUUCUAUCACGUGUUCGAAAGUGUCAGCCAAUGAUGUCAAGCCUCUUGAACCUGCCUUGGGCCCAUUCACGCUCUCCAGAGUCCCAUGGGUCCGCACACCUGGAGAUACUCUAUUAUAGCAAAGAAGAAAGAUAAUUUCAUUGAGCCAUCCUGUUUUACAGUAUUGAAUUAUUACCACAAGGUACCAACCAUAUAUGCAUACUUAAUAGGGUAUUUUGUCAAAACUAUGCAUGAAGGUCAUUUGUUUGAGAUGUCAGAACAUUUUCCCGUGAGAAGAUCUCAUUGGGCAUUGAAACAGAACCACAUGCUCUUCAGACCAGCAACCGCGACUACCAAAUACUCCUCUGUCAACUCUACUUGAGUAAGAACGCUUUCAAUUAAGGCCUAAGUGUCAACAUGCCUUUAAAAAAAAUCGUGGUGACACAAAAUCUUUCUUUUUAGCACCCAACAGAAUCCCUUCAAAGCCUCGUGGUCUGACACCCUAUGCUACGUGACUUGUGACCCAUCCAUUUGUCAUGUUCUUCGGGAAUGUGGCUAAGGGGCUAAGAUGUGACUUGAAAAGAAAGGUAGAACAAGAUCAUCUCAAAUUUAUUAUCAAGGAAUAGUUCAGAAAACGACUUCAGACCACAGAGACAGCAGAACAGAUGGUCCGGCAUGGAUAGAGCAUCAGACACUCACAGACUGUGCCAACAAGAGCCAUCGAGUCAAAACAGCCAAAGGAAGGAGGGUCAUGGAAUGGGUUCUCUCACACCAAACUGAUGCCCAGAGGCCCUCAGCAUGAAUAACAAAGGCAACCAGACCCACAAGCCAUACUGAGUGGAUACAAAACCUAUACCUAGGCUGACAUCCCAAAUGUGUGUGGCAAGUUAGAUGAUGAUGGCACAAAAGACAGAACACCUUGCUUCUGGCCAUUGUCAGCUCUUGGAAGAGAGCACACUUUUAGAGGAGCAGCUGCAAGGAGCCUGAGAACAAAACUGGAAAUGUCUGUUAUGAAAGCCUUCACAGGAAAUUCUGCAAGUGGCAACGUGGGUCCAUUCCGUGUGUGUCACUAGAGCUGGCGCAAGCCCAUGGCCAUGGUGAGGCAGCGUUUCCACUGGAACUAAUCUGAUACCUGCACCAGCUCUUGCAACUGUGCAGUGUUCCCACUGCAAACUACGGAUGGGGUAAAAGACUGCUCACCUCCUAUUUCUCAUCUAAUCUCACACACUCUGUUUGAUGAGGCUAUGGAGAAACAGGUCUUCUCAUACACUAAAGGUGGGAGUACAAACAAUUCAAGCCCUGUGCAGGACAAUUAGGCAAUACCUAUCAAAAUUAUACAUGAUUUUUCCUGCUGACCCAGCAAUUCCACUUCUGGGAAUAAUUGACAGAUAUAGGUGCAUAUGUACAAAAUGAUGGAAAGCUCUCUGGUAUAUAUUAGUAAGUGAUAAAACAAGGUGUAAAAUAGUGUAUAUAUGGCUACUACCUUUUGUUUUAAAAAUGGGGGAAAAUGGUGGAGCUUGCGGUGAGCCGAGAUCGUGCCACUGCACUCCAGCCUGGGCGACAGAGCGAGACUCCGUCUCAAAAAAAAAACAGGGUGGGGUGGGGGGGAAAUAAUAGUACAUACUCAUAUUUACCUGUAUCUAUAUAAAACACACUAUCAAGGAUUCACAAGAAACUAAUACAAAUGAUCACCUUAUAGAUGGUAUGUAUUGGGGGAUACUGAGGUGAGCAGGGUAUAAGUGGGGCAAGACUUUUCAGUGUAAACUUCUUUUAAAUUUUAUUUUGAUUUUUGAAUAAUGUAAAUUAACUGUCAAAUAAUUAAAUUAAAAAUAACCAAUUUAUUAACAAAACA